CCUACGGGAGGCAGCAGUGAGGAAUAUUGGACAAUGGGCGCAAGCCUGAUCCAGCCAUGCCGCGUGCAGGAUGACGGUCCUAUGGAUUGUAAACUGCUUUUGCACAGGAAGAAACAACGCUACGUGUAGCGUCUUGACGGUACUGUGAGAAUAAGGAUCGGCUAACUCCGUGCCAGCAGCCGCGGUAAUACGGAGGAUCCAAGCGUUAUCCGGAAUCAUUGGGUUUAAAGGGUCCGUAGGCGGUUUAGUAAGUCAGUGGUGAAAGCCCAUCGCUCAACGGUGGAACGGCCAUUGAUACUGCUAGACUUGAAUUAUUAGGAAGUAACUAGAAUAUGUAGUGUAGCGGUGAAAUGCUUAGAGAUUACAUGGAAUACCAAUUGCGAAGGCAGGUUACUACUAAUGGAUUGACGCUGAUGGACGAAAGCGUGGGUAGCGAACAGGAUUAGAUACCCUGGUAGUCCACGCCGUAAACGAUGGAUACUAGCUGUUGGGAGCGAUCUCAGUGGCUAAGCGAAAGUAGAUAAGUAUCCCAACCUGGGGAGUUACGUUCGCAAGAAUGAACUUAAAAUUGAAUUGACGG
rnacentral:rRNA from 1 species